rnacentral:lncRNA from 12 species
CCCCCCCCCCCCCCCCCCCCCCCCCCCCCCCCCCCCCCCCCCCCCCCCCCCCCCCCCCCCCCCCCCCCCCCCCCCCCCCCCCCCCCCCCCCCGCUCUGUUUCUGGGCCUGGUGAAGCCUUGGUACGUGCGGCUACGUGUAGCAAACGUACGCGCGUUAAAUUUAUUAGCACAGGGAGAGUGCCUUGUGGCUGAUCAUGUGCUUCAGGGUUGUAAAGGCUGUCUGUGCCCAGCUGUAACACCUCCUGCCCUGCUCAGGACCAUGCCUGUAAUCAGUCCCACUGGCACUGUAUUAAACUCUUUUUUAUAAAAGGUUGGGGUUUUUUUCAGUAUAACUUUGAUACUGGUUCACAUGACUGAGAAAAUGUCUCAGGCUUCCUUGUCUUCAUUUGCACACUAGGAGGAACAUGGGAGCUCACCAGAAGUUAGCUUGACAGGGAAUUUGGAUAAUUAAUGUACCUGAUAAUCUACAAAGCAUUAGAUCACUGGGGAGAGUUAUUAUGGUGCCUGUCUUUAACAUACACAAUUAGAUUUUAAAACAAAGUUUGCUGGCACAUCUUCACCAGCUGCCUAGCGAGCAGAAUUGCCAAAACUUUUCCUAGAAGCCCUGGGGAGGCAAAUUGAAGUAAAAUACUUCCACAGAAUAAUUAACACUCAUCUUCCCAGUAGUACAAGUGCAGCCAUACCAAAUGAAUCAGGAGUAUUGCAACAGAUGCUGUAUCAUUAAGUACCAGAUGUACAGCACUGGAGUUAAAUACUAAAUUGACUGCAAGUUGUAAAGUAGCACAAGUAGGUCAAUUCACCAAUUUCAGUUGGAGUCUAACAUGCACCUGAUAUGUGUUUUGCUAGCUGCUUAUUUUGGCAAGAGCCUAACAGUAAAAAACAAAAAGGAAAAUGUUAAGAGUUCAAUAUUUUUAUCAGCUACAUAAAGAUGUUUGAAAGCAUAUAGAAAUUCGUGAAACAUUUGUAUCUGAAGAGUCACUGCUAUACUGUAGAAAAGAUGCUAGGUUUAGGUUUAUUGUUUCUUCUCUAAAACCAUAUUGAACUACUAUUUCAUAUUCUUUUAUCCAUCUGAAUAAUUGAAUUUGUUUUGUCUGGUUUUGGCAUUGUAUAUAUGAAACUGGAAGGAAAAUAAUAAAACUGGAAUAUCAUAAAUUAAUAAAUACUAACAGUGUGGUGGUCAACCAGGAUUUACACAAUCAGCAGCUGCGCAUGACCCUUUAUACUGGCAAACACUGAAAACUGAUGGAGACAAAGAGCAAGUAAAAGAGCAUCAAUAACAGCCUAUUCUGUGUGGGAUAGCCAAGUACAUAAAGCAAUUGAUAAUGAAUUACCAAGACUCCUGGCAUGCAGCUGCAGCAUCCUAAGAAAAAUGUAUUAACCUUAUUUAUGAGCAUCUCAACCAUUAGUUAUCAAUCACUAGCAAUGGACAGAGAAGCAUUCUAAAUGAUGUGGUAUUUCAGGAAAUCCAAA